rnacentral:rRNA from 1 species
AUUCCAGCUCCAAUAGCGUAUAUUUAAGUUGUUGCAGUUAAAAAGCUCGUAGUUGGAUUUCGGGUGGGCUGCGCCGGUCUCCUAACGGUUGUACUGGCGACGCCUGCCUUGCUGCCGGGGACGGGCUCCUGCCUUUACUGUCGGGACCCGGAAUCGGCGACGUUACUUUGAGUAAAUUAGAGUGUUCAAAGCAAGCCUACGCUCUGAAUAUAAUAGCAUGGGAUAACACGACAGGACUCUGGCCUAUCGUGUUGGUCUGUAGGACCAGAGUAAUGAUUAAGAGGGACAGUCGGGGGCAUUCGUAUUCCGUUGUCAGAGGUGAAAUUCUUGGAUUUACGGAAGACGAACAUCUGCGAAAGCAUUUGCCAAGGAUGUUUUCAUUA